UGUCUGUCUGUCUGUGUACACCUGAGUCUCGUUAGUUAAUCAGCACUUCUGUGUUUAUGUUGCGUUGUCGUCUGAAGACGAGACUGAGCUGCUCGGUCUCGUCUUCUCGUUGUGUUUUCCUGCACUUCCUGACUCCGUCACACACCCCUUUCUGACCAAGGUGGUACCAUGCCUGAACAGCACCAGCACCAAGGUGGAACCAGCACCAGCACCAGCACCAGCCCAGAACCAGCCCAGAACCAGCACUUGAUUCGCUUUUGUUGACAGGUGACCUUUUCACCACAGACAACCCAAAAACAGAACGAGUCUGGUUCUUCAGCGACAGCUCAAGUGUGUACAAUCCACCGUUGUGCUCAGUGGUGUGCUGGGGAGGCAGCACCGCAGCGGGGGAGGCAGGCAGGAUAAACAAACUGAUGUAAAAAAGCUCUGGACAGCCUGGAGGCAGCAGCAGAGGGGAGGAUGAGGACUAAACUGAACUCCAUCUUAAGCACCAUCUCCCACCUCCUCUGUGGUGGGCUGAGAGCUACAGACCAUCUCCAUCUCCAGCCUCUGCUUCAGCAUCACAGGGUGCAGGACAUGUGCUGUAACUGUUGUUCUCUUGUGUAAUAAAAGCAAACUGUGUACUGUAGUUGUUGCCUUCCAUGAGGACCUGUGCAGCCUCAGCAAGGAGCUAAAAUAAAUCCAUCCCAGGGAAAUGAACACAGUUUAG